CAGUAGCCACGGUAAUACGUAGGGUGCAAGCGUUAAUCGGAAUUACUGGGCGUAAAGCGUGCGCAGGCGGUUUUGUAAGACAGAGGUGAAAUCCCCGGGCUCAACCUGGGAACUGCCUUUGUGACUGCAAGGCUAGAGUACGGCAGAGGGGGAUGGAAUUCCGCGUGUAGCAGUGAAAUGCGUAGAUAUGCGGAGGAACACCGAUGGCGAAGGCAAUCCCCUGGGCCUGUACUGACGCUCAUGCACGAAAGCGUGGGGAGCAAACAGGAUUAGAGACCCCAGUAGUCCCUGUCUCUUAUAA
rnacentral:rRNA from 1 species